UUUAAAAUUUUUGCUUUCAGCAAUUUUCCAUUUUUUUCAACAUACUUAUAUCGCAAUGAGGCAACCAAAUAUGAAUCCUGAGAAUGAAGAUGGAAAAUGAAUAUUUUAAUCCAAUAUCGAGUUGUUCUUUCAACAUUUUUAGUUUUAGUUUUAAUCGAAAAUAUAAAGUUACAUAAUUGUGUGAGGAAUAAUUUUUGCAGAGAAAUUUUUAAAAAUUCACAAAAGGAAAAAGAAACCUUUACCAUGAGUCUAUAACAUUGAAAGACUGUGUUUAAGUUAUUUUAAUAAAGCCAAACCAACACUUUCAGCAGGAACUAAAUGGCAGCAUCUGAUUUCACGCUGAUACAUAUGUAUUAGUGUGGUGCUCACUUUUACCCUUCAUUUUACCUUGGGUCUUGCCAUUUUCUUUCUUUUUAUUUUUAUGUUUUUUUGUGUUUUGUUUUCUUUUGGAAGAGGUAAUUUUUAGGGAGAAAAAAAACACUUUUUCCUCAUAGGUCGAUUUAAAAUGUUGGCCUUACCUUAAUCUCCUCUCUCAAACUCAAUCCACUAUGUAAUGGGUCAACAUACUUUUCUGUGAAGGAGCAGAUAGUAAAUAUUUUAGUCUUUGCAGGCCAUAUGGUCUCUGUUGCCAGCUCUUCCAUUGUGGUGUGAAAGCAGCCAUAGACAACACAGAAAUGAAUAAGUGUAACUGUUCCAAUAAAAACAGAUGAUAUGUUGAAUUUAGCUCACAGAGUUUAGCUUGCUGCCCCUGCAGGAGGCCUUUGGAGUAAAAGCUUCCUGAGAGGAGGACUUUUUGUCUUUUUUGCUCAAGUUCUAGCUCCAGUACCUAAAAUAGUGCCUGUCACGUAGGUAUUGAUGAAUAUUGGAACCUGUUGAACAUACACCUAAAAUAAAACAUUUGGCAAGAUACAGUACUACACAAUUUGGAGAACACUUGGCUCCCAUAGAAAUCAAAGCCUUCCUGAGUAAUUAAUUAUUUGGCCUGAUGAUGAAUUACUGUGCCUGAGAUGAUAGAGCUAAUUUAUUUUUCAAUUCACUCAGGGGACACACGUUAUUUUCACUGUGAAUUUGGUUAAAAUGAAAAGAUUUCCUGCUCUAAGUCCUGGAUAGACCUUUAUGUAAUAGCAUACUCUUCACUCUUUUUGAAUCGCAUGCAGUUGUCAGACUGGAUGAUUUCCAGACAGAGGUUCCAAGUCUUUCAUCAUGUUUGGGUUAAAGACCUCAUUAACAUACUAGUCCUGCCAUUUGAGUCUGUUCUCUUCACGGAAUAUUUUCACCUGAAUCAGUGGGUAUAAUUCAUCAGUGUCUGGUUGCUUCAAGUUAUUUUUCUUAAUGCUGAUGUUAAUGCAUGCCCAUCUUUAUGCCUCAACACAUUGCACAAUGAAAAACAAAAAUUAUUUUGGAAGACACAGCUGACAUCUAUAUGAAAUAUUCAGUAUCAGUGAUUGAACUUCAGCAAGCUCCUGUGGCCAGCAGGGUUUUACGGAGGUGCAACUGCUCUCCCACGAUCACUUAUCAUAAAGCCAGAGACAAUUGGGCCAAUGUAGCCUCUUGCCUGCUUUUGUGUACAAAAUAUAAAUAGAAUAGAGCAAAUAAGGAAAAAUAGUCCCGCAGCUGGAAGGCAACUUUAAAGAAAAAUGAUGUUCAUAGCUGUCUUGCCAGUAGCUGGCAAAGCAGUUUUUAUAAGACAUAUUUAAUGUUUACAACCACUUGGAGGCUGGGGAAGGAGUAAUACUUUGAAAAUAUGUUUAAUGUUGUGAACCACUCUGUGGCCGAGAAGCAACUCCGGCUAAAAUAUAUUUAAUGCUUAGAGUCAUUUGGCGGUUUCGAAAAAAAGAAACUUCUUGUUAAUUUUUAACAUUUAUUGCUGAUCAGUGGCUGCUAAAGUAACUAUCAGUACAGCAUGAUUUAUAUUUAGGGACACGCUGUGCUGCUACUAAAACAAUUCAUACUCUUCUCUCAAGGCUACACAAAAAGUGUCAAUAGCAUUACCUUUGCAAUUGCACCACUAAUAAAAACAUAGGAAUCAAACAGACGAAUAAAAUGCUCCCUGCCCACACAGCCAUAACAUCCUAUGGCCCUGAAAAUAGUUCUGCCAAGCUGCGUGCAGUGGACACUUCACGGCUGGCACAGGAGAGAUCACAAGGCCUUGCUCAAUUUCAUCAAAAGUGUUAAAGCGACUCAGCAGAUUGUGAAGCACAAGUGGAAGCUGAUAAUUGGUGUUUCUUACAAAUCAACGGCUUGUCUCCACACAUCAAGGUGAGAAAAUCAAUGUAAAAGAGGAGAAAUAACCCACACAACCACAUACAACUAGGAAAUGAUAGAUGGAUCUGAAAAAAAGGAUAUGCACUCUUAACAAGUUCAACACCCAAGUACUAUUGCAAGUACCAGCUGUAUUUCAUGGAAAAAAAAAAAAGAAUAACUCAAAAGGCAGAACGAAGAGCCUAGAGGUCAGAGAUGAGAGGCAUGAAUAAUUAUUCACAGGCGUUGAAUAUAAUCAAAUGACUUGCAACAUUUACCACUGGGAUUUUAAAAUGUGGUGGACCAAUCAUUCUUUUAGUCUGUGCAUUUUCCCAUUUUUUUCAACAGGAAUGUCUAGAGACAUUAUUCCUGUUUUGCCACUGUAUUUUUGGUGAAUGUGUAGUAAGUAACUGGCCUCUUUAGUAUCACAAAGCUGGAUGAAGAAAAUGUGGUACAUAUACACCAUGAAAUACUAUGCCGCCACAAAAAGGAAAUGAGAUCAUGUCCUCUGCAGGGACAUGGAUGAAGCUGGAAGCCAUUAUCCUUAGCAAAGUAACGCAGGAACAGAAAACCAAACACCACAUGUUGUCUCUUAGAAGUGGGAGCUGAACGUACCUAAUUCUUGCAAUUCAGUGUAUUUCCUGGCGAGAGGCAGAGAUGAACAACCCUGGACAGUUACCACAUAUGGCUCUUAUGAGGUAAUGAGGAUGGUUGUGAUGAGAAGGGUAAAAAAUAAAAAAGUUAUUACAAAACAUUUUUCAAGGAAUUUUCCAAAAAAUGAUUUUAAUAUUCUCUUUGCUUAUGGAAUGAUAUUUAAAACCAUGAUUUCUGUGUCCUUUAAAAUGACUUCUGAUUUGUGAAUUGUUCUCUGUGCUCCAAACUUCUUUUAUUUGUCCCUGUGUUUAUGCUCAUAACCAUUCAUUUCCCUCUUUUCCCACUGACUUAGCCUCUGGGGUUGUAAAGAAGUUACUCGUUUAUUUUUGUGUAUGUGUGGGGUUUUGUCUUUUGUUUUCUGAGAAUAAAGUAUAUGAGAUCAUGGAAAAAAUCAGAAAACGAGGAAAAUCAUAAAUUCAUUACCAAAAUAAUUUCUGAUUUGGUAUUAUAGCUCUGCAAAUUACUUCACUAAUUGUGUUCAUAGGUACUAUGGUACACUGUACACUGUUUUGUAACUUGCUUUUUAGAUGGAUUAUAUCAUAUUUUUCUGUAUCAAUAAAUAUGAAUUCAUUACAUCAGUUUAAACUGAUCAAAAACAUUUUAAUCAAAGUAAUACAAUUAAAUUGCUAAAUAUCAUAGGGAAUCGAAGAGUUUAUAAUCCCAAACCAUACUCUUUCUUUUCCUAGCCAGCUGGGGACAUUUUUAAUUGUUUCUAUUUUCAUUCUUUCUGUUUCAGUUCUUAUAAAAAUACAUAUAUAAAAUUGGCUAAAUGAUUAAAUGUUAUAGUAGUUCUUUAAUUAUAAAUUUGAAUAAUAUUUGUUGACUUCCAAACUGCAUACCCCUUGCCUUGUCCAAGUAAAACUGUACCAUCGUUUAUUCUCUGUGUUGUCAAUAAAACACUAAGUGAUAUCUGAGUUUCUAAAUUUCAGUUCACUCAUAGAAUGUAUCCUUUUUUUUCUUCUUGCCUCCAACAUUUUAUUAUGAAAUUUUCAAAUUCAUGAUAAAAGUAUAUAGUAUUCAUCUGUAUACUUACCUCCUAGUCUAUAUAUUUUUUACAUACUGUUUAUAAUUGUUUUAUUAUUUUCUACCCAUUUGUCUAUCUGUUAACCCAGCUUAAUUUUUGAUGCAUUUAAAAGUAGGUUGUAGAUACAAAUAACCAUCACCCUAACACCCUUCAAUACAAUGUUUACAGUUGUUUUUUUGACAUUGGAAUGUAUCUGUGGUUUCUCUAUUUCAUAGGAUCAUAGCAUUAACACCUUUACACUUCCCCUUACAUCUCCUUCCAUUUCUUCUCCCCGUCCGCCACCAGCUUCCAUCAUCUGUAUUAUACAGAAUCUGUCCUAAAAAAUUCUGAAGUAGGCCUUAGGUUUUUUUUGUUUUUUUAAAGGGUCUUGUUCUGUGGCCCAAGCUACAGUGCAGUGGCACAAUCUCAGCUCACUGCAGCCUCUGCCUCCUGGGCUCAAGUAAUCCUCCUGAAUAGCAGGGAUUACAGGCACAGACUACCAUGCUUAGCUAAUUUUUCUAUUUUUUUAUUUGUAGAGAUGGGGUUUCAUCAUAUUACCCAGGCUGGUCUCAAACUUCUGGGCUCAAGCAAUCUACCUGCCUAUGCCUCUGAAUGUGCUGGGAUUACAGGUGUGAGACACCCUGUGUGGCCAGGCCUCUUUUUAAAAAUAAGCCUGAUAGUUAAUUUUAUAUGUCAAUUUGACUGAGCCAUAAGUUGCCCAGAGAUUUUGUCAAGCAUUAUCCUGGGUGUGCCUCUGUGGGUGUUUCUGAAUGAGAUUAGUAUUUAAAUCAGUAGACUGAAUAAAAUAGAUUGCCUUCCCUAAUGUGGAUGGGCCUCAUUCAAUAGCUGUGGGAAUGAAUAGAUCAAAAGGGCAAACCCCUCCGUGAGUGACAGAGAUCUCUUCCUGCCUGACUGCCUUCAAGCUGAGACACUGGAAUUUUUUUUCUGCCUUUUGACUUCAAUUAAAACAUUGGCUUUUCCUGGGUCUUGAGCCUGCCCGUCUUUAGACUAGAACUAGAAGCUAUCCUGGGUCUACAGUUUGCCAACUGCAUACCUUUGGACUAGUCAGCCUUUAUAAUUGUGUGAGCCAAUUCCUUAUAACAAAUCUUUAUAUAUCGAUAUAUAGAGAUAUAUAUUGAUAUAUAUAUAUAUACCUAUAUAGAGAGAUAUAUCUAUAUAUCUAUAUAGAUAUCUAUACCUAUAUAGAGAGAUAUGUCUAUAUCCAUAUAUAGAUAUAUAGAGAUCCAUAUAUAUCCUCUAUAUAUGGAUACAUCUAUAUAUAGAGAGAUCUCUCUAAAUAUCUCUAUAUCUAUAACUAUAUCUACAUCUACAUCUAUAGCUAUAUCAACAUCCAAUUUGUUCUUUUUCUCUGAGAACACCUACUGAUAAAUAAGUUUCUAAGUUUUGUCUAUCAGUUGAUGCUAAAACAUUAAAAAAAGAGAACAACUAAUACUCUUUUUACACUAAUUAGAACAAUGUAAGCCUUUUUGUUUUAUUACCAAAUAAUUUGUAUUUCCUAUGUAAUUGCUGCAGUUUUAUUUUGCAUAUAGAUUUUUUUUCCGUAACAUCUUUGUCUGUUAGUGGUUUUAUUUAUGAAUAAAUAAAUCCUUAGAUUCAUCCCACUUCUGAGGUCAGACAUCAAAUCUUUUCACUACAUGCCUCUCUUUGGGAGGUUUCUUUCUUGCUAAUCCAAACAAGAACAUCUGCACAAUUGUCAACCUGGAAUUUACUUUAUUAAUCUCCUGGUUUGGAAACACUUUUUCUUGGAUGUUAUAUUUACUUUAGUUUACUAUUUUGUUGGCUUGCACUAAUUUUAUAUGAUUUCUUAAUAAUGAGUGUAUGUUAGACAUUUUACUUGAGUCUUUUCAUAUCACGGUAUGCCUUUAUUUUACCCUCAUAUAUAAUUAAUUUUCAUCUGGGCAUAUAUUUCCAGAUUAGAAAUCAUUUCUUUUCAUACAUUUUAAGGAAUUUAUACAUUUGCAUCUGAAAUUGUAUUCAUUAUCUUCUAGAAACCAAGAGUGGACUUGGUAUCCGUCUGAUUAUAUUUUCUUUGUUGGUAAAGAGCCUCUUUUUUCCCUUUUUAUUUUCAUCUUCUCUUUCUCUAGUGUUUAUAAUCUUAUUUUUAUGAAUGUAGUCUAAUUAUUUAGAACACUGUCUCCGAGUAUGUGUUUAUUUGGGUUUGUGUUUUGAACAUUGCCUCCAGGUGCGAGUUUAUGUGUGUUUAUGUUUCCUAUUUGAGGUUGGACACUUAGAAAAUUUUCUCAAUUCGAAAACUAUUUUCCUUCAGCACUCAGAAAUUUUUAUCAAAGAUUAUUUCCACGAUUAUUUCCUGUCCUUGGUUUUUCGUGUUCUUAACCUAGAAUUCAAUUGUUUAAUGUUAGACCUUACACAUCUUCAAUGUAUCAUAUAUAUUUCACUCAUAUUAUUUAUUGUCAUAUCUUUUGGACUAUUGUGUGAAAGCAAUAAAUGUAUAUUACUUUA